GACGAACGCUGGCGGCGUGCUUAACACAUGCAAGUCGAACGAUGAAGAAAAGAAUUGAAGCUUCGCCAGAAAUUCAUUUCGGAUUAGUGGCAGACGGGUGAGUAACGCGUGAGCAACCUACCUCUUACAAAGGGAUAGCCUCGGGAAACCGGGAUUAAUACCAUAUAACAUUGCGACGAAGCAUUUCGAUGCAAUCAAAGCUACGGCGGUAAGAGAUGGGCUCGCGUCCCAUUAACCAGAUGGUGAGGUAACGGCUCACCAUAGUAACGAUGGGUAACCGGCCUGAGAGGGUGAACGGUCACACUGGAACUGAGACACGGUCCAGACUCCUACGGGAGGCAGCAGUGGGGAAUAUUGCACAAUGGAGGGAACUCUGAUGCAGCGACGCCGCGUGAGUGAUGAAGGAAUUCGUUUCGUAAAACUCUGUUCUAUGGGAAGAAAAGGACUGUACCAUAGGAGAAAGCUCCGGCUAAAUACGUG
rnacentral:rRNA from 1 species